rnacentral:rRNA from 1 species
UACGUAGGGUGCGAGCGUUAAUCGGAAUUACUGGGCGUAAAGCGUGCGCAGGCGGUUUUGUAAGCCAGAUGUGAAAGCCCCGGGCUUAACCUGGGAAUGGCAUUUGGGACUGCAAGGCUUGAGUGCGGCAGAGGAGACUGGAAUUCCUGGUGUAGCAGUGAAAUGCGUAGAUAUCGAGAGGAACACCGGUGGCGAAGGCGGCCUUCUGGACAGUGACUGACGCUGAGACGCGAAAGCGUGGGGAGCAAACAGG